AAGAGGUCCAGCCUGCCCAGUGACCGCAAGUUUAACGGCCGCGGUAUUUUGACCGUGCAAAGGUAGCGCAAUCACUUGUCUUUUAAAUAAAGACCUGUAUGAAUGGCUAAACGAGGGCUUAACUGUCUCCCAUUUCAAGUCAGUGAAAUUGAUCUACCCGUGCAGAAGCGGGUAUAAUUAUACAAGACGAGAAGACCCUUUGGAGCUUAAGGCGUAAAACUCAACCACGUCAAGCGACUCAAUAAAAAGCAACUUUUUUAAACCUUGUGGCAAAUGAGACCACUGCCUUCGGUUGGGGCGACCAUGGAGGAAAAGAAAGCCUCCAAGUGGAAUGGGGCAACCCCCUAAAACCAAGAGAGACAUCUCUAAGCUACAGAACAUCUGACCAUAUAUGAUCCGGUCCACUAAGACCGAUCAACGAACCAAGUUACCCUAGGGAUAACAGCGCAAUCCUCUCCCAGAGUCCAUAUCGACGAGGGGGUUUACGACCUCGAUGUUGGAUCAGGACAUCCUAAUGGUGCAG
rnacentral:rRNA from 1 species